AGCUAUAAAUUCCGAGGGAAAAAAUCCGUCGGAACAAAUAAUAAAAAAAAAAUUAAAAACACUUAACCCUAAAAAAACCGGAACACCCCACACCCCCUCCCCUUCAUUUUUCUUUUCUCUCUCCUCUCCUCUCUCUCCGCCUCUCUUCUCUUUCUCUCUCCUCUCUGCUUCUCUUUCUCUCUUCUCUCCUCUUUCCUUCCAUUCUCCUUUUGUCGUUCUUUCCCCUUCUCCUCUUCCUAGUUAUAUCAUCAAGCAAAUGAAGAUGCGCUUGAUUCCGUGAACAAAUCCAUCUUAAUGUUGGAUUUCGCACAGGGGAGAAGAAGAAUUUUCGGAAUGGGGGAUCCUCGCUGGCAACACUCCUCUGUUUGAGGUGCCCUAUCAUUGCGUUUCCUUUCUUCGAUCUCCUCCUUCUCUCCUCUUCCUUCCCCUCUUUGAUUUCAUACGACACAACAACGACACCACCGCAACGACAACAACAACAACGACACCAGCAGCAACGAAACAACAACAACAACAACAACAUUCGUGUUCCUUAAUAUGGAUGAUGAUACUACUACUACUUCUACGGCACGUGAUGAUGGAUAUAAUGAAUACAUUACUCCGCAACGAAAGAGAAAGAAGAGGUCUAAAGUUUGGAGAGAGCUUAUUGAAGGGAAGAAUGUUUAAGGUGCAUGGAUGGUGCAUCGCCAUUUUCUUGAGGCGGAGAAAGGUCCUUAUGAUUAUUUAAAGGAAAUGGUGAAACCAAUGCUUGAAAAAUUUGACAAGUAUUGGUCGGAUUACAAUUUGUACUUGUCAUUUCCGCCAUUCUUGAUCCGAGGUACAAAGUGAAAUUUGUGGAAUAUAUAUGGAAGUGUAGAGGCCUCAAGACGAAUUAACUUGGUGUUGGGAACUAUGAAGUCAAUGUUUAAAGACUAUAAGUUGCAAUAUGCUAGUAGUUCACCUAUUGUAGUUGCUCCUUCUCCUCCUAGUACUUCCGGAGCUAGAAACUACUUUGAUGAUUAUGACCAUUUUGUCGGUACUAGUGCAAGAUCUCAAGUAGGAAAGUCACAACUUGUGAUGUACCUAGAUGAUGAUGCUUUAGAUCUCAAUUCACAACUAGAUAUUUUGGAGUUUUGGCAUCAAAGUUCUGUGAGGUAUCCUGUGGUGUCUAAGAUGGCACGGGAUUUGUUGACUAUUCCUAUAAGUACUGUAGCUUCGGAGUCUGCUUUUAGUAUUGGAGGAAAGACUGUUUCGGCAUCGCGAAGUUCAUUAAAGUCAAAAACAAUUCAAGCUUUAGUAUGUAAGCAAGAUUGACAUUGUGAAAGCAAUCAAGUAGAGGUUGAUAGUGAACUUGAAGAUGAAAUCAUUGAAGAAGAAGAGGAUGAUGAUGUAGACCCUUUCUACUAGGUUGAUAUGUUGUUCCUUAUUUGUCUCGAAUUAUUGAUUAUUAUUCUUGUUGUAGUUAUAUAAUUCUACUGUAAUGAGAGCCAUCAAAAUAAAAAAAAGUAGUAAAGAUUUGCUUGGCAGUGUGUAGAUUUCCACUAACAACAUUUGAUAGCUUUUAUAUGUUUGUCUAUCAAAAGCAAUAAUGGAAAUUAAAGGUAAUGUAACCAUUUGGAAUUUAUGCUUUCCAUCAGGAUCAUCAUCAUGAGGCUUAGCAUUUUCACUGGCAACUGGUAUGCACAGGAACUGAUAGCAGAAAGUAGAAGUUAAUGCCCGUUUCACUUUUACCUCGAUCUGACCCGCAUUGACCCUGACCCGCUAAAUAUUCAUCUUGACCCGCAACCGACCCACCCCGCUAAUGACCCGCUCUAACCCGCCCAAUAACCACCCCUAUCUAUGAUCUAUACUUCCCUCAUUUCUCCACCCAUAAUAUAUCUCAACUCCAGAUCAAUUUGAGACUCGUUAUCAUCCUCGGUCAAAUAACUACGCCAUGAAG